rnacentral:piRNA from 1 species
UUGAUUGGCAGGAUCAAUAUAGUAAAAA